UACGUAGGGGGCAAGCGUUGUCCGGAAUUAUUGGGCGUAAAGAGCGUGUAGGCGGCCAGGUAGGUCUGCUGUGAAAACUCGAGGCUUAACCUCGAGCUGUCGGCGGAAACCAUCUGGCUAGAGUCCGGAAGAGGAGAAUGGAAUUCCCGGUGUAGCGGUGAAAUGCGCAGAUAUCGGGAAGAACACCCGUGGCGAAGGCGGUUCUCUGGGACGGUACUGACGCUGAGGAGCGAAAGCGUGGGGAGCGAACAGG
rnacentral:rRNA from 1 species